UAUCUCUGUAGAGUCUGCAUAUCAAUAAGCGGAGGAAAAGAAACUAACUAGGAUUCCCUCAGUAACGGCGAGUGAAGCGGGAAGAGCUCAAAUUUGAAAUCUUCAAGGUUUUACCUUGACGAAUUGUAGUUUAAAGAAGUGUUUUCUGUUGGAGUUUUGGUAAAAGUUCUUUGGAAUAGGACAUCAUAGAGGGUGAGAAUCCCGUAUUUGACCAUUAUUUCCAGCUUUGUGAUACACUUUCAAAGAGUCGGAUUGUUUGGGAAUGCAGUCCAAAAUGGGUGGUAAAUUUCAUCUAAAGCUAAAUACUGGCGAGAGACCGAUAGCGAACAAGUACCGUGAGGGAAAGAUGAAAAGAACUUUGAAAAGAGAGUUAAACAGUACGUGAAAUUGUCAAAAGGGAAGCGUUUGACACCAGUGUUGUUUUCUCGAAAAUCAAUUAAAAAUGGCGGGAUUUUGUGUUGUAUUGACUUUAUCAGCUUUCUGCACUCUUUUCCUGUCUUUUUUAAUGCACUUUUCGUUUAACAAGUCAACAUCAAUUUCUUUUGUUGUAAAAGAGUCAUUGGAAGGUGGCUUUCUUUUCGGAGAAAGUGUUUAUAGCCUUUGGCCUCUGCAAUCGGAGAGAUUGAGGUCUGCAGCGUAGAUCCUUCGGGGUUAGAUACAGUUUGUGCUAAGUUAUAGCCUUUCAUAGACAACUUGUUGACUAUGAUCAGUCAUGUAGCUUACUCGCUUAUGCUAUUUUACCUACGCUUAGGAUGUUGAGUCAUCACACAUCUCU
rnacentral:rRNA from 1 species